GUCGUAACAAGGUUUCCGUAGGUGAACCUGCGGAAGGAUCAUUACUUCCAUCAUACUCACACCCGAGCAUUUGUUGUUCUGUUUGGUUCAGAGGCGCGUCUGUUUCUCUAUUCUUUCUCUCUAAGAUGAUUGAGGAAUGGGUGUUCCUUUGUUCCACAUUCCAACUUACAAACACCUUUCAAACUUGAAACAACCAAUCAACUUUUCUGAAGUGUUUGUUGCGUUGCGGGCAUUUUUUUGUUCGCGCGUCAACCUUCCAACGAUAGACAACUUUCAACAGUGGAUAUCUUGGCUCUCGCAUCGAUGAAGAACGCAGCGAAAUGCGAUACGUAGUGUGAAUUGCAGAAUUCCGUGAAUCAUCGAAUCUUUGAACGCAUAUUGCGCCGAAGCUUCUGCGACGGCAUGCCUGCCUGAGCGUCAGUUCCUUCCUCACUCAUGUCAUCUUCAUCUUUGUUUUCGAAAAGGUGGAGGCGUCUUGUGUGGUGCUGGCUUUCUUCCUUUUUUCUUUCUAAAAGAGAGAGGAAGUCUGCUGAAGAUGAGCGACGAGUCGCGGGGACAUUGUUCUGCCGUUGCCCCAGACGUGGUAGGCUCUCUUUUGUAGCACGAUCGUUUGUGUGGCCGGCGGCGUCACCGCAUAGUGUCUCGUUUAUCGAGGAGCGUGCUCCUCAAACAACUCCUAAUUUUGACCUCAGUUUAGGUAAGAGUACCCGCCGAAUUUAAGCAUAUUACUAAGCGGAGGAAAAGAAACUAACCAGGAUUCCCUCAGUAACGGCGAGCGAAGCGGGAAGAGCCCAUCUUGAAAAUCCUUCGGGAAUUGUAGUCUAGAGAACCGUCCUCUGCAGCCACCGCGCCUCAAGUGCUCUGGAAGGGGCCGUCAGAGAGGGUGAGAGCCCCGUCGGGCGCGCGCAGCUGCUCCACGAGUCGAGCUCGACGAGUCGGGCUGUUUGGGAUUGCAGUCUGAAGCGGGUGGUAAAUUCCAUCUAAGGCUAAAUACUGGCGAGAGACCGAUAGCGAAAAAGUACCGCGAGGGAAAGAUGAAAAGAACUUUGAAAAGAGAGUUAAAAAGUGCUUGAAACUGUUGACUGGGAAGCUGUUGGUGACACGGGUGCGCGCCUGAGCCUCUGGCCGUGGCGCGCUGGUCAGCGUGGAUUCGCGCGGCGGUAGAACUGCGGUCGAUGGUGCCGUUUAUGCCGCCGUGUGGAUCGAGGACCGACGCUGGCGGAAUGUUAUCAACCGGCCCGUCUAGAAACACGGACCAAGGAGUCUAACAUGUAUGCGAGUUCGCGGGUUGCAAACCCGUCGGCGCAAGUAACCUGAGUGAUGUCCAGCAUCGACCAACCAUGAUCUUUUGUGAAAGGUUUGAGUGAGAGCAUACCUGUUGGGACCCGAAAGAUGGUGAACUAUGCGUGA
rnacentral:rRNA from 1 species